rnacentral:tRNA from 1 species
GGAUUGUGGCUCAUCGGUAGAGUGCUCGUCUAUCACGAGUGGGACCUGGGUUCGAUUCUCAGCACCA